AAAGUAUUAAGUUAAAUAAACUUUUAGCCUUCAAAGCUUGGAUUGGGUGUAUCUCAUAUUUUA
rnacentral:tRNA from 1 species